GAGAAAAACGGGCGGGGUGCCUUUAACAUGUGCAUGUAGAGAGCAGACAAGGAACUUGUUCCUCUCUCAUUGGGGCGGGACGGGGGAGAAACACGGGGAGUACCACCCUCCUAGAGGGGGAGAAUUUCGGGAAAGCGGACGUUAUCCCCGAAAAUAUUUUGAUCCACGGGGUGUAAUAGAAAAAAAGGGUUGUCCUGUCCCUUAUAAAAGGAUCCGCGCCUCAUUACUAUUUGGGGAGGUAAGGGUUUUCCGAGGCAACGAUUGGUACCCACACCUAGGAGGGAGAGCGGCCCCCCUGCUGAUAAGAAACACACCCUACUCCUCCAGGAGGGAGCAGGAGGAAGUCUUCUCCAAUGGUGGAAAAGAGGACGGAACAGCGCCGCGCGAUGGAUGAAAGGCUUCGGAUGGUAACCACUCUGUUUUUAGGGAAGAACAAAUGUGUAAGUGUGUAUGCCCGGCUUGACCGUACCGUAACCAGAAACCCACGGCUCAUUUCAUGUUCCCCCCCGCGGCAAUACGUAGGAGGGAAGCGUUAUCCUCAAUUAUUGGUCAUAAAGCGCGCGUAGCCGGUUUUUUAGUCUGAUGUGAAAGCCCACGGCUCAACCGUGGAGGGUCAUUGGAAACUGGAAAACUUGAGUGCAGAAGAGGAAAGUGGAAUUCCAUGUGUAGCGGUGAAAUGCGCAGAGAUAUGGAGGAACACCAGUGGCGAAGGCGACUUUCUGGUCUGUAACUGACGCUGAUGUGCGAAAGCGUGGGGAUCAAACAGGAUUAGAUACCCUGGUAGUCCACGCCGUAAACGAUGAGUGCUGAGUGUUAGGGGGUUUCCGCCCCUUAGUGCUGCAGCUAACGCAUUAAGCACUCCGCCUGGGGAGUACGACCGCAAGGUUGAAACUCAAAGGAAUUGACGGGGACCCGCACAAGCGGUGGAGCAUGUGGUUUAAUUCGAAGCAACGCGAAGAACCUUACCAAAUCUUGACAUCCUUUGACAACUCUAGAGAUAGAGCUUUCCCCUUCGGGGGACAAAGUGACAGGUGGUGCAUGGUUGUCGUCAGCUCGUGUCGUGAGAUGUUGGGUUAAGUCCCGCAACGAGCGCAACCCUUAAGCUUAGUUGCCAUCAUUAAGUUGGGCACUCUAAGUUGACUGCCGGUGACAAACCGGAGGAAGGUGGGGAUGACGUCAAAUCAUCAUGCCCCUUAUGAUUUGGGCUACACACGUGCUACAAUGGACAAUACAAAGGGCAGCGAAACCGUGAGGUCAAGCAAAUCCCAUAAAGUUGUUCUCAGUUCGGAUUGUAGUCUGCAACUCGACUACAUGAAGCUGGAAUCGCUAGUAAUCGUAGAUCAGCAUGCUACGGUGAAUACGUUCCCGGGUCU
rnacentral:rRNA from 1 species